CCUGUCCACAUCCUCGGGGGUAACGGAUUGAAAUUGAUUCCAUGCAACUUGACCAGACAGAGCUCUAGCACUCUCCCGCCCCAGCCCUGCUCCCACGGUGGUGUCUAGCUCCUUCCGAAUAUGAGUGAUUUUAUCUGCAAAAAAACUUUGCAAAAUCGUUGCAGGAGAUCUUGGGGUCUUUACAAGGCCCCGGUGGUAAAGGUGGUUCCGUUAAAUUGUGAACCACCUGAAAGAGUCUCCUGCUACUAU